UACGAAGGGUGCAAACGUUGCUCGGAAUUAUUGGGCGUAAAGCGCACGUAGGCGGCUUUGCAAGUCGGAUGUGAAAUCCCUCGGCUCAACCGAGGACGUGCAUCCGAAACUGCGGAGCUUGAGUAUGGAAGAGGGUCGCGGAAUUCCCGGUGUAGUGGUGGAAUGCGUAGAUAUCGGGAGGAACACCAGUGGCGAAGGCGGUUGCCUGGGGCUUUGCUGACGCUGAUGCGCGAAAGCGUGGGGAGCGAUCCGG
rnacentral:rRNA from 1 species